rnacentral:misc_RNA from 1 species
GAUGAAGAACGCAGCGAAAUGCGAUAAGUAAUGUGAAUUGCAGAAUUCAGUGAAUCAUCGAAUCUUUGAACGCACAUUGCGCCCGUCAGUAUUCUGGCGGGCAUGCCUGUUCGAGCGUCAUUACGCCCCUCAAGUCCCCUGUGGACUUGGUGUUGGGGAUCGGCGAGGCUGGUUUUCCAGCACAGCCGUCCCUUAAAUUAAUUGGCGGUCUCGCCGUGGCCCUCCUCUGCGCAGUAGUAAAACACUCGCAACAGGAGCCCGGCGCGGUCCACUGCCGUAAAACCCCCCAACUUUUUAAAGUUGACCUCGAAUCAGGUAGGACUACCCGCUGAACUUAAGCAUAUCAAUAAGCGGAGGA